rnacentral:tRNA from 1 species
AUUUAAAUAGCUUAAAAAUAAAGCAUAGUAUUGAAGAUACUAAGAUGAUUUUAAAUCUUUAGAUA